CAUUCUGUCAACUAUCGUUUCAAACCAAGAAACAUUUCAAUUUCGUCCAAGUUCCUUAGCUUAAUCAAAAUUCUACCGUGGUUUUUCCAAAAAACUUGGAACAGAGUUGUUUUCGUCCAAAUUAUUUAGUUAAGGUUCGAUUGGAAAUUCAAAGAACAACAACAAUUUGGUUCAAAUAAAUUCCAGGAACAGGUCAGAUAGACAGACGGGUAGGCCUCCUCAAUAAGCAUUGCCCGAGUUCAUCUUGAUCGAUCCAGGUACUGCGACCCAGUC